rnacentral:rRNA from 1 species
CCUACGGGAGGCUGCAGUGGGGAAUCUUCGGCAAUGGGCGAAAGCCUGACCGAGCGACGCCGCGUGCGGGAUGAAGGCCCUCGGGUUGUAAACCGCUGUCAGUGGGGAGGAAGGCUCUGUGAAGAGCAGGGUUUGACCUAUCCGCAGAGGAAGUCCGGGCUAAGUUCGUGCCAGCAGCCGCGGUAACACGAACCGGACAAACGUUAUUCGGAAUCACUGGGCUUAAAGGGUGCGUAGGCGGCCUGACAAGUUGGGUGUGAAAUCCCUCGGCUCAACCGAGGAAUUGCGCUCAAAACUGUUGGGCUUGAGGGAGUUAGAGGUAAGCGGAACUUAGGGUGGAGCGGUGAAAUGCGUUGAUAUCCUAAGGAACACCAGUGGCGAAAGCGGCUUACUGGAGCUUUUCUGACGCUGAGGCACGAAAGCUAGGGGAGCGAACGGGCUUAGAUACCCCUGUAGUC